GACGAACGCUGGCGGCGUGCCUAAUACACGCAAGUCUAGCGGACAGAAGGGAGCUUGCUCCCGGAAGUUAGCGGCGGACGGGUGAGUAACACGUGGGCAACCUACCCUGUAGAUCGGGAUAACAUCGAGAAAUCGGUGCUAAUACCGGAUAAUCAUUUGAAGUGCAUGCUUCGAAUGUAAAAGAUGGCUCCGGCUAUCACUACGGGAUGGGCCCGCGGCGCAUUAGCUAGUUGGUAAGGUAAUGGCUUACCAAGGCAACGAUGCGUAGCCUACCUGAGAGAGUGAUCGGACACACUGGGACUGAGACACGGCCCAGACUCCUACGGGAGGCAGCAGUAGGGAAUCUUCCGCAAUGGACGAAAGUCUGACGGAGCGACGCCGCGUGAGUGAUGAAGGUUUUCGGAUCGUAAAGCUCUGUUGUUAGGGAAGAACAAGUGCCGUUUGAAUAAGGCGGCACCUUGACGGUACCUAACCAGAGAGCCACGGCUAACUACGUGCCAGCCGCCGCGGUAAGAC
rnacentral:rRNA from 1 species